UCACUAUUCAUCAUGGAUCUAGUCAAACAUCUCACGACCACAUCCAUAGCACGUACUUUGACCAAAAAGAAAAAGUCUCUAUCAAAAAGGUGCUGAUUCAUAUUCAAGAGAAGCUCUACUGGAGAUGACAACAUGGAUUAUCUGACCGUAAAAUCAGUAGAAACUACACCAUGUACAAAGAACACAAUAACUGCUGAUCGACUAUUAUUGUGCUGUUAUUUCCUCUCCUACAAGGCUGGUUACAUCAGUGAGAAACACCGAAAAUAUAUUUUCAAUGAGCCUGUACUCCUGUAUUGCAGAGAUCUUGAGGUUGCCUACAGAUUUGGCCUCUCUUCAGAACGUAAUAAUUAACUAUUGCAGUUCUAAUGAGAAAUCAGGAAUUGAAUUUGAAAGAAUUUAUUGUGAAAGAAGUUGUAUCAUACAUAAUGAAGUGUUAUAAAAGCCCGGAAUGAUUUCAAGUGACUGAUUCCACAUUAGGCACUGGGAAAGCUGUGCCUGGAACAGCUAGAAGUAAGUACAGAGGGCCUGAUGUAAUGCAUGUUGAAGUCAAUGAAUUUUUUCCAUUGUGUAUAGUAGACAUAAAGUUUUUCAAUUUCAUGGGACGGAAAAAAUUUAUUUUAUGGAACAAACACUCACAAAGAAACACAACUCAUUUCUUAAAUACAUGUACUUUCUUCCUGAUGUUUUUAAUGGGAAACGUGUGCACUGUGAGGUGAGUACAUCAAAUUACCCUGCUUUUUGAAGAGGAUUAGUUAAUUUUGCAGGGAAAUCAAUAUCCAAUAAC
ensembl:lncRNA